AUCGCUCUCUCUCUAAAUCUUAAAAAAUGGAAAAAUUGAAGUGUAGAGAGGAAGGGAAGGGAAGGACAAUUUAUAGAAUUUUGAAACCGUCGAAUUCAUGCCAAGUGACGAAAUCUGGUGAACAGAGAGGAGAAAAAAAUGUUUGACUCAAAAAACAAAAGAAGAGGGCCUCCUCCAUCAGCGUUGGUGGUGCGCCGCCUGAGACACUAACGGUGCACUACCCGAGGUGGCAGUGCCCCGACUGGCGCGUUGCAGG
rnacentral:lncRNA from 1 species